AAGUCGUCGAAUUUGUGGCCCAUAACAGAUAGUGGGAAAGAUACAGGCAUCAAUUAUGAAUAUAAUCAUCCAAUUGCUACACUAUUCAUGAUAAACUUGUUUUUCGUUUCUUUCUUAUAAAAAAUUAUCUUCUUCUUGAGAUUGAGUGAAAUGGCUGCUUAUGGAGCUUUAGUUUCCGUGGUGAAUAUUAUUGAUCAACUACAAAAUCAUCCACACCCUCCUAUUUGCAUCCACCAAAAACAGAUUGAAUCUCUCACUCAAGCAGUUACAUCCUUGCAACAUGUUCUUGAAAGCUAUUCGCCCCAAGGUGGCUACACCAAGGAUGAAGAUUAUUGGGAGAGUCGCAUUGCUGAAGCAGCUUACGAUGCUGAAGAUGUGAUCGAGUCUUAUAUUGUCGAUCAAAUUCAUGUUCGAGCAAGAAAUGAUGUAGAAAACAUCAGCUCCGCUGAAUUCUAUCAAGGUCUGCAGAAGUGAUCGAAAAUAUGAAUUUGAUCAAGAUUGAGAUUAAAGAGAAGAUGGUAGUUCAAGAUCAACUCCACAUCAUAAAGUCUAUGAGCACUGCUGCUGUUGCAGGCUCGUGUAGAUCUGCUUCCGCUGCUCAUAAGGUUACAAUGGUUGGUUUUGAUGAUGUCUUUGAUCAAAUGCUGGACAAGAUCACUGGAGGACUCGCUCGUCAAAUUAUCCCGAUUGUUGGAAUGGGUGGGAUAGGCAAUUGCUUGGAAUAUCUAUGUGAGUCCACUCAUCCAAGAACAUUUUGAUGUUUGUGCGUGGUGUACAAUUUCUCAAGAGUAUAAUGCAAGAGAAAUUCUUAGACAAGUUCUUGAUCAAGUAGAUAAGAAGGAUAAGGAGAACAACAGGAAGGAUUUGAGUGAAGAUGAGUUAGGUGAUCAUUUGUACAAAUAUUUGAUAGGAAGAAAGUAUGUUAUUGUGAUGGAUGAUAUUUGGAAUAUUGAGGCAUGGGAUUGUGUUAGGAGAUUCUUUCCAGAUAAUAGGAAUGCGAGUAGAAUAGUAGGAACAACAAGGCUAUCAAACUUGGCAUCCCAAUUUAACUACUCCAAUGGUCUUGAUUUGAAAUUUUUGGAUGAGGAUGCUGUGUUUGGGGAUGAAACUUGCUGGCUUGAGUUGGAGGAGAUGGGAAAGAAGAUUGUGAAAGGUUGUAAAGGACUUCCAUUGUCUAUUGCUAUGAUAGGAGGACCCUUGUCAAAGUCUGAAAGAACAAAAGAAAAUUGGCAAUUGUAUGAUAGUAAAUAUUUAAGUUCAAUUGUGAAUUUGGAUGAUAAUGAGAGUUGCUCGCAAGUAGUAUACAUGAGUUAUAAUAAGUUGCCGAUUCAUUUAAAACCAUGUUAUCUCUAUAUGGGAAGAUAUGGUGAGAUGAAGAGAUUUGUAUCAAUGAGUUAAUCUUAUUCUUUAUUGCCGAGGGAUUUAUAAAACCAAUGAAUGGGAAGAGUGUGGAAGAGGCAACAACAGAGUAUGUAGAAGAAGUUAUUGAUAGAAAUAUGCUUAUUGUUGAAAAUUGCUAUCAUGAGAAACUACUAUCAUUCAAAAUGUUGAGGGAUGUAUGUUUGAGAGAAGCUCAAAAAUUGAAGUUUUUAUGUGUGUUGAUUCCAAAAGCCAUAAAUUCUCAACGACGCAGGUUAAAAGAAGAUAAAUAUUCAACUCCACUCAUUCAAAACCUAGACACACUUUCUAGGGUGUCCAAUCUCAAGUUCUCAAGAGAAUACCACCCAAUAUCAAAACGUAGGUGAUAUUAUACUAUGAAAGGAAAGAUGAUCUCAACAAUGUUUGCUACCUUCACAAACUUGAAUAUCUUCCCAUAUAAUACGGCAACUCAGCUUCCCUCAUUCCCUCAAGACAUGAAGACAAAAAUAGGUUUGUUGCCGCUUCUUCAAUUUCUCAUUCUGGAAGAGAACUUCUUUCUGUGGGCAUGAGUGGGAAACUCUUGAAGACCAAGUUCUUGUUGAUUUAGAGUCGAGUGUUGGAUCACAGACAAUACCCACUUUCCACGCGGUUAAGAGAGAUUCCUUCAUGCAUGGGAUGUUCAUACCAACACUCCACUCAAUUGACGUGAAAUAUUGUAGUGAUUCUGCGAAAAUAAUAAAGGAGGAGCAAGAGGAACUCGGCAAUGAAGACCUUCAAAUCAUUAUUAAACGCAGAAUUCAUAAGUAAGAAGCAGUUCCAUGCGGAAGAGAUAAGUAUGCCUGAGAUUGAAGAGCUCAGAAUGGUUACAAAAAUUGUGUUAUAAGCACAGGCCUGGCCAGGCCUCCUCUAUGAAUUUCUUGGGUGUCAACUUUUUACUAAUUUAUUAUUGGUAUCAAAUAGUCCAAUUUGGUCUAACAUAGCAUAGCUCCUGUACUGAAAGUGUAGACAAAGUGGACCAAACUGAAAUUUUCAAGUGAUCCUUCAUCGGUGAAGAUCCACCAAUUAGUUCAGGUUUCAUUCUACUGAAG